UGUAAAACCACUACUUAAUUUCGUUUUUCGAGAGUCAACCUCGAUUGUAAAUCCUAUAAAUGGAUAUUGUAUCGGUUCAAAUAAAUGGCAGUGUUGAUAUUUUCGAUUCCGGUCAGCUAGCCGACGAGUUAUUUCAUUUUUAAUGUAGGGAAAAAAUCGCGGAACGCUGUUAAAACGCCGUACACCGUGUCGCCAUACAAACGAUUUUUCUCACCCCGUCCCCCCCUCGCCAC